CUUCUUUGUAAUUAGAUUUAGUGAUUAGCGAUUAUCUUUUCCUUGGCAAUGCAGUUUCCCUUCUACAGAAAUGAGCUUAAGUCAACACUACAGUUGCCACUAAGUGUAAGGAUUCGUGAAGGGGAAAACGACGGACUCCCUUCCCUCUGUUCUUCUCAAGUAAUGCAAAUUAGAGCAUUUGCUUAAUUCUUUAAUCACAUCACGUUAUGCUGAAGAAGGGAGCAGCAUGAUUCUCUAAAGCAAAGCAAUGGAUGUGCCCAAUAGCACCAUCACUCCCAGACAGCAACCACUGGACAGCCAAAGGUUUAGAGUCUUUUCUUGCACAGGUCAAGAAUAUGUAAUAGGUAAGAGAAUACAGACUGGCAGCCUCCGAUUCUUUUAUAUUUUCUGCAAGCCGUGCAUGAAGAGAAAGAACCGCCCACUCUUUUCUAAUCUGACAUAAUUAUUCAUUCACCCAUUAAGCUUUUAAAUAAGUCCAGUGUUACAUCUCUACCUAGCUUUUCUGAGUGGUUAGUUUGUAGGGAGUAUAGAUAGAUUUUGGAAGAUAGGGGAUUUGGAAAUGAACAAGGUUCUGGAUGAAUGAAACCAGUGACUCUAGAAAUGGGUCAAG
rnacentral:lncRNA from 10 species